AUACGGGGGGAGCAAGCGUUGUCCGGAAUCACUGGGCGUAAAGGGCGUGUAGGCGGGCUGAUAAGUCAGAUGUGAAAGCCCACGGCUUAACCGUGGAAUUGCAUUUGAUACUGUCAGUCUUGAGUGCGAGAGAGGGUAGUGGAAUUCCCGGUGCAGCGGUGAAAUGCGUAGAUAUCGGGAAGAACACCAGUAGCGAAGGCGGCUACCUGGCUCGCAACUGACGCUAAGGCGCGAAAGCGUGGGGAGCAAACAGGAUUAGAAACCCUAGUAGUCC
rnacentral:rRNA from 1 species